GACGAACGCUGGCGGCGUGCUUAACACAUGCAAGUCGAACGGAAAGGCCCUGCUUUUGUGGGGUGCUCGAGUGGCGAACGGGUGAGUAACACGUGAGUAACCUGCCCUUGACUUUGGGAUAACUUCAGGAAACUGGGGCUAAUACCGGAUAGGAGCUCCUGCUGCAUGGUGGGGGUUGGAAAGUUUCGGCGGUUGGGGAUGGACUCGCGGCUUAUCAGCUUGUUGGUGGGGUAGUGGCUUACCAAGGCUUUGGCGGGUAGCCGGCAUGAGAGGGUGACCGGCGACCUUGGGACUGAGGGACGGCCCAGACGCGUACGGGAGGCAACAGUGGGAAGUAUUGCACAGUGAGCGGGAGCCUGAUACGGCGGCGUCGCGUGCGGAAUGACGGCCUUCGGGGUAUGAACCGCUUUCGCCUGUGACGACGCGUGAGUGACGGUAAUGAGUAAAGAAGCACCGGCUAACUACGUG
rnacentral:rRNA from 1 species